AUGGUCCCGAUGACCGGAAGGAAUCCCUUCUGGUCAGCAAUGGUCUCAAUGACCGGAAGGGAUUCCUUCCGUUCAUCAAAAUUCGAAUCGUCUCGAUGACCGGAAGGGAUUCCUUCCGGUCAUCAAAAUUCAAAUCGUCUCAAUGACCGGAAGGGAUUCCUUCCGGUCAUUGGGACCAU
rnacentral:miRNA from 1 species